rnacentral:tRNA from 1 species
GGGUAGGUAUGCAAGUGGUUAAAGCAGGCGCACUGUAAAUGCGUUGGCAACCAAUAAGUCCUUCGUGAGUUCGAAUCUCACCCUACCCU